GCUGUAGCUCAGUGAAAGAGCAUCUGCUUGGCAUGUAGAAGGUUCCUGGUUCAACCCCUGACAUCUCCA